GACGUAGGGCGCGAGCGUUGUCCGGAUUUAUUGGGCGUAAAGAGCUCGUAGGCGGCUCGUUGCGUCGGCUGUGAAAACCCGCAGCUCAACUGUGGGCUUGCAGCUGAUACGGGCGGGCUAGAAUUCGGUAGGGGAGACUGGAAUUCCUGGUGUAGCGGUGAAAUGCGCAGAUAUCAGGAGGAACACCGGUGGCGAAGGCAGGUCUCUGGGCCACUACUGACGCUGAGAAGCGAAAGCAGUGGGGAGCGAACAGG
rnacentral:rRNA from 1 species